rnacentral:rRNA from 1 species
CCCGUGCUUUUGUGGGGUGCUCGAGUGGCGAACGGGUGAGUAACACGUGAGUAACCUGCCCUUGACUUUGGGAUAACUUCAGUAAACUGGGGCUAAUACCGGAUAGGAGCUCCUGCUGCAUGGUGGGGGUUGGAAAGUUUCGGCGGUUGGGGAUGGACUCGCGGCUUAUCAGCUUGUUGGUGGGGUAGUGGCUUACCAAGGCUUUGACGGGUAGCCGGCCUGAGAGGGUGACCGGCCACAUUGGGACUGAGAUACGGCCCAG